UAUUUCAUGAGUGUGGAUUACAAGAACAGAUUACUUGAAUUAUUUUUACAAUUUUUUAAGAACCACUACCAUACUUAUGCAAGAGAAAACAUAUUAACCAACAGAAUAGUAAGCAAGUACCUACUCCUGUAAUGCAAAAAGAAAGUACCUACUCCUGUAAUGCAAACAGAAAACAAUUUUUAUGCAUACUCCACAUACUGUAACUCAAGGUUAACAAACUUUCUAAAAUUAGAGACAUCAAGACAAGUACAAAAAAAUGUGAUGCAAAGGUUU